rnacentral:rRNA from 1 species
GACGAACGCUGGCGGCGUGCUUAACACAUGCAAGUCGAACGGAAAGGCCCUGCUUUUGUGGGGUGCUCGAGUGGCGAACGGGUGAGUAACACGUGAGUAACCUGCCCUUGACUUUGGGAUAACUUCAGGAAACUGGGGCUAAUACCGGAUAGGAGCUCCUGCUGCAUGGUGGGGGUUGGAAAGUUUCGGCGGUUGGGGAUGGACUCGCGGCUUAUCAGCUUGUUGGUGGGGUAGUGGCUUACCAAGGCUUUGACGGGUAGCCGGCCUGAGAGGGUGACCGGCCACAUUGGGACUGAGAUACGGCCCAGACUCCUACGGGAGGCAGCAGUGGGGAAUAUUGCACAAUGGGCGGAAGCCUGAUGCAGCAACGCCGCGUGCGGGAUGACGGCCUUCGGGUUGUAAACCGCUUUCGCCUGAGACGAAGCGUAAGUGACGGUAAUGGGUAAAGAAGCACCGGCUAACUACGUG